rnacentral:rRNA from 1 species
AUAAUACUCCAUAGAUUAGAGAUACUGGAAUGUUCUUUAGUCAAAAGUUCUGGCGCCUUAGGAUGGAUCUGCGGUCGAUUAGGUUGUUGUUGGGGUAACGGCCCAACAAGCCUGUAAUCGAUACGGGUUGUGGGAGCAAUAGCCCGGAGAUGGAAUCUGAGACAAGAUUCCAGGCCCUACGGGGCGCAGCAGGCGCGAAAACUUUACAAUGCAGGAAACUGUGAUAAGGGAACCCCGAGUGCCCGUAUACGCGGGCUGUCCGGGUGUUUAAAAAUCAUCUGAAGAAAGGGCCGGGCAAGACCGGUGCCAGCCGCCGCGGUAAUACCGGCGGCUCGAGUGGUGGCCACUAUUAUUGGGCUUAAAGCGUCCGUAGCUGGACUGAUAAGUCUCUUGGGAAAUCCGCCGGCUCAACCGGCGGGCGUCUAAGGGAUACUGUUGGUCUAGGGACCGGGAGAGGUGAGAGGUACUCCGGGGGUAGGAGUGAAAUCCUGUAAUCCCCGGGGGACCACCGAUGGCGAAGGCAUCUCACCAGAACGGCUCCGACAGUGAGGGACGAAAGCUGGGGGAGCAAACCGGAUUAGAUACCCGGGUAGUCCCAGCCGUAAACUAUGCGCGUUAGGUGU